rnacentral:rRNA from 1 species
UACAGAGGGGGCAAGCGUUGUUCGGAAUUACUGGGCGUAAAGGGCUCGUAGGCGGCCAACUAAGUCAGACGUGAAAUCCCCAGGCUCAACCUGGGAACUGCGUCUGAUACUGGAUGGCUUGAAUCCGGGAGAGGGAUGCAGAAUUCCAGGUGUAGCGGUGAAAUGCGUAGAUAUCUGGAGGAAUACCGGUGGCGAAGGCGGCAUCCUGGACCGACAUUGACGCUGAUGAGCGAAAGCUAGGGGAGCAAACGGG